UGCGUAGGCGGCUUGUCAAGCCAGAGGUGAAAGGCAUUGGCUCAACCAAUGUAAGCCUUUGGAACUGGCGAACUUGAGUACAGGAGAGGUAAGUGGAAUUCCUAGUGUAGAGGUGAAAUUCGUAGAUAUUAGGAGGAACACCAGUGGCGAAGGCGACUUACUGGACUGUAACUGACGCUGAGGCACGAAAGCGUGGGUAGCGAACA
rnacentral:rRNA from 1 species